AUACUAUGAUGGUUCCUUAGUUCAGCAGAUUGAAUCACAGAGAUUUAAUAUUUGCCAAAUUUACCU